AUUGAACGCUGGCGGCAGGCCUAACACAUGCAAGUCGAACGGUAACAGGAAGAAGCUUGCUUCUUUGCUGACGAGUGGCGGACGGGUGAGUAAUGUCUGGGAAACUGCCUGAUGGAGGGGGAUAACUACUGGAAACGGUAGCUAAUACCGCAUAACGUCGCAAGACCAAAGAGGGGGACCUUCGGGCCUCUUGCCAUCGGAUGUGCCCAGAUGGGAUUAGCUAGUAGGUGGGGUAAUGGCUCACCUAGGCGACGAUCCCUAGCUGGUCUGAGAGGAUGACCAGCCACACUGGAACUGAGACACGGUCCAGACUCCUACGGGAGGCAGCAGUGGGGAAUAUUGCACAAUGGGCGCAAGCCUGAUGCAGCCAUGCCGCGUGUAUGAAGAAGGCCUUCGGGUUGUAAAGUACUUUCAGCGGGGAGGAAGGGAGUAAAGUUAAUACCUUUGCUCAUUGACGUUACCCGCAGAAGAAGCACCGGCUAACUCCGUG
rnacentral:rRNA from 1 species